AGCGCUGCGUCCCUUGGGUCGGCGGCCAGCACUUGGUGCCGCGUGAAUGUGUGGCCCCUGUCCCGUAGUGCGAGAGUC
rfam:Trypanosoma congolense IL3000, WGS project CAEQ01000000 data, contig: 132